ensembl:lncRNA
CAAGAUUUGAAGAGAAAUCCUCUCCCCCAUACAGAUAUAAAAGCAAGGACAUGCACACAGCCGCCUUCCGAUCCAAACAUUGACUCAUCAGCACACGCCACCUGUGAAAACACCAAGCUAUUUUCACAAGAAUAAAGAGAUGCACCAACUUGCACGUUUAACUGUUAUGCGCCACACUUAAUUCCGGCACAGUUGUGUGCGUGUCCUAAAUCUACAAUUUAUCACAUAAAUGCCAGAUAAACCUAAUCACUAUGCUAACAUUUGCAGCUCCAAUUGUGCCAAACACAGAAGCGUUAAUUAAUCUAAUGUUCUUGUGGCAGACGCACGCAGUCGCACAUGCAGUCACGCUGUGGGAGUGAUUUGUAAGGCACCAUGUGGGGCUCUAAUCUGCGGGUUGCAGUGGGAUCUUUACAGCCUGCUCACAGGCCCAAGUAGCAGAAAUUAGGCCCAAAUUCAAUCAGACGUCCAGGCAGCCCCGGGCUUUUCCUGCAGGCCUCGAGGUGCCUUGGGAUGCCAGCUCCAUCUGCACUAGGGGUACGGAGAGCUUGCCUCAUGGUGUUGGGGAGUUAUGAGUAUUGCGGGCCACCAUCUCUCCGCACAUUAGUGUCACGGCUAAACUAAAUAAAGACUCUGUGUUUGAGUGUUUAGCUGAGGAGUAAUUUAAUUUAGGCAACAACAUGCUGUUGUAAAUCACAAGGAUGAGACGGUGGACUGCAUCUGGAGAGGGUAUUUAUCUCAAGGAAAUACCAGAACAUUGAGUUAAAAAGAAAUCACACCCUGAGAUUAGCUUUCUGCAGACAGCAUUCGGAUCUCUGUAUUUCUGCCUUAUUUGGAAGCCGAAGUAAAUGCGGAGCCAGACCCGAAAACAGCUCCUAUUUUUCGAGCAAGUUAACUUUCAUACGGUCAUUGUUGAGGGAUUUUUGCAAUGGCAUCGAGCGCUGAGAGCACUGUAUUACCCGAUUGCAUCAACUAAUCCGCCAACCUAUUUGCUGAGGAAUAUACAGAGCAAGACACUGGAGAACGCAUUCGCGUCUGACUCGGUCGUCUGUGAAAUUGAUAAGCCACAAGAGAUCGACCAUUUCUUACGAAGCCACAAACACGCAUAAAACGUUUUGGAACACAGAAGAGCAGGAAAAGCAGGAGCCAUAUGCACCGUUCUCAGGAUUGUGGGCAAUGUGAUAGGGUGCAUAGGUUGUCCCUUGAGGCCAAACUGACAUGAUUGGAGCUCCCAAUAAAACCAGAAUGAAAAGUCUUCAAAAUGGGAGAAACUCUUGGGAGCAAAAUCGGCCCUGGAGACUGGAAUAAUCCAAGGGUUUUUUCAUCAGCAGAAGCAAACAGCGAGCCAGAAGGAGAAGAGGGGAGAUGAAAGAACAUCAAUGCAGAGAAAAUGUGCAAAGCCACAGAGAAGCACUGCCCGGCAUAAUGACUCAGCUACCGCGCAGGGACCAACAACUUUCUAAAGCAUCUCAGAAACAUUAGGCAGAGAGACGGGAUGCUCCUUGCCCAGUACUCUAGCUGUGGGCGCUGCCUGAUGCAAUUAAAACAAGCCCACAGAGCCUGUGCGCAGAUGCAGUGAGGUGCCUUGUACUACUGAAAUAUCACAUCAGUGUUGUAAAGCUGACCAGGCCCUAAUCUACACUUUUUCAACAGCCGGCACACCAUGCAUAAUUAACACACAUUACUAAUUCAAACCUAAAGUGGCUCCCAUGUAAUAUACUGCAGUUCACUUUAAUUAAACACAUGUACUCUCGAACGAUCUGCAACCAUGUAAUGUGUGUGAAUGAAUAAAGAAAAGCAGUGGGAUUGCGGUCAUGUGCAACCACAGACCCAUAAACUGAAAACAAGAUGGAUAAUUUCAGGGCAUUUUAAUAUUAUGCAAUACAUUGGACCCAAAAUGUAAUUGGACCCUUAAAAAUGUAUGAAUUUCAUUGCACACAUAACAAAAUUUAAAAGCGGCAUUUCCAAUCAAAUUAUGCUUUUCUCAGAGAUAAUUUCACUUUAGUUAGGUACUGUAUUUUUGCAAUGACUUUAAAUUUAACUAACUGGUUCUGAAUGUGAUUUUUAGUGGAUGUAUAAAGCUGUUCAUUACAAUAACAUAUUCCACUAACAUCUGACAACCAUAUUUAAGAGAUACAUUUAAAAGGCACAGAAACAUUUCUUAAUGUUGUUCAUUGUUAAUUUACUCAUCCUCCAGUUGUUCUAAACCUUCUGUUAAACAUAAAAGAAGAUAUUUUGAAGAACAUUGACUUCCAUAGUAGAUGACAGAAUUUUCUUAUUUGUGUGCACUAUUCCUUUAAGUGUCCAAAUGUUUUUGGAGCAAUUGUGUAUUUUUAAUCUACAUGACUUUAAGAAUUCAAAUUAUAUAAGUAAAUCUCGGGAUGGUGCAUAAACAAGAUGUUUUUAAAGGCAAAUCCUUUAUCAGCUGGUGUCCAUAAAGUAUAGGCUGAAACUCUGCAGUGAUCUGUAAGCGAGCGUUUGAGAUUGCCAGGAGCCAGGCUGACCUUUGACCUCUCCUGAAACACAUUAUUAAGAUAAACCUUUUAAGGAAAAGUCGGGAGACUGGAUUUACUCUAUUGUGCUUUAAACACAGUAAUGGAAACAACCCCAGUGGGCAAGCCUUUGCUGGAAAGUGUUAUCAGACAGCUGACCUACUGAAAUAUCAGUGUUGUGACCCACACUGCCCCUGCAUUAAAAACAGCUGUCUCCUCACAGAGCAAGUCGGCUGGAAUGAAAAAAACCUCUUUGCUAAAUUUGACAAAGGACCCUUAGUGAACUGAAAUUGUGAUUUCAAUGCAAAUUCAUUCAUUUGCUUCUUCACUGUUCCGGUUCUGCACAGGCUCGUACACAUACACUGAAAUUCUGAGGCGGCAUGUUGUGGGUGUUACGAAGGUGAAGUUCAGAGACAAAUUGUGGAGGUGUAAGAAAGACAACACAGGAAAAUGAUACAUCUGUUCUGUUGCUGCUCAAACAUGUACUUUGACACAAUUACCUUGUGUGAGUGAAUUUUCACCCUUCGGCUUGUGAGAGGUACAACCAGCCAGUGACAGGUGAGAACGGAGAUGACGAUUACCUCCAAAGUGCUUGGGAAAAUUGACAAGCUGCUAGAGGGAUAGCAGCAGUUGAUACUUCACUCCCAACAAACAUCUCAAGCUUAGUGAUAUGACAGCCUAUCACUCUUUUAAAGUGGUGACCUGUGCUGUUUGUCAUACACCAGCAGCAUGCAUCUUUUAAAAGCUAAAUGAUUUUUAAUUGGUCACAUUAUGGUAAUAAAUACCCACUGUUUAAGAAAAUGUAAGAAUAGAAACCCUGAUUAGGGUGCAGUCAGGAUAUCAAGUCAGUACUAUACUGGCAUCCAGUGGCUGAUAUGGAAAGAUUGUAGGAAUGCCUAUAGCGAUUCCACUUCUCUGUGUGGUUACACCAACAAAUUACCUUCUUACAUACAUAUGACCAUUUACACACAAAUUUGUCCAAUGCAUGUGGAAUUGGUCAGCAUUUUAAAUAUCAAAUCCUUUGCCGUCUAUGUUAAAGGAAUAGAUCACCCAUACAUGAACAUUAUGCUCAGUUUUUUUUUUUUUUUUUUU